ACCAGGAAAGGGUAUAAUCCGUGCGAGUAACGAAAAACUUUCCAGGCGAGUAUCGAAAAAUGGUAGAAUCAGUGUGAGGACCGGAAAAUAAUAGAAUCCGGGAGACUACCGGGUAAAGGUAGAAUCCGUGCGAGUAUCGAAUAACUGUCCGAACGAGUACUGAAGAAUGGUAGAAUCAGUUUGAGUAUCGGAAAAUGGUCGAAUCCAGGUGAGUACCAGGAAAGGGUAAAAUCCGUGCGAGUAACGAAAAACUUUCCAGGCGAGUAUCCAAAAAUGGUAGAAUCAGUGUGAGGACCGGAAAAUAAUAGAAUCCGGGCGACUACCGGGUAAAGGUAGAAUCCGUGCGAGUAUCGAAUAACUGUCCGAACGAGUACUGAAGAAUGGUAGAAUCAGUUUGAGUAUCGGAAAAUGGUCGAAUCCAGGUGAGUACCAGGAAAGGGUAAAAUCCGUGCGAGUAACGAAAAACUUUCCAGGCGAGUAUCCAAAAAUGGUAGAAUCAGUGUGAGGACCGGAAAAUAAUAGAAUCCGGGCGACUACCGGGUAAAGGUAGAAUCCGUGCGAGUAUCGAAUAACUGUCCGAACGAGUACUGAAGAAUGGUAGAAUCAGUUUGAGUAUCGGAAAAUGGUCGAAUCCAGGUGAGUACCAGGAAAGGGUAAAAUCCGUGCGAGUAACGAAAAACUUUCCAGGCGAGUAUCCAAAAAUGGUAGAAUCAGUGUGAGGACCGGAAAAUAAUAGAAUCCGGGCGACUACCGGGUAAAGGUAGAAUCCGUGCGAGUAUCGAAUAACUGUCCGAACGAGUACUGAAGAAUGGUAGAAUCAGUUUGAGUAUCGGAAAAUGGUCGAAUCCAGGUGAGUACCAGGAAAGGGUAAAAUCCGUGCGAGUAACGAAAAACUUUCCAGGCGAGUAUCCAAAAAUGGUAGAAUCAGUGUGAGGACCGGAAAAUAAUAGAAUCCGGGCGACUACCGGGUAAAGGUAGAAUCCGUGCGAGUAUCGAAUAACUGUCCGAACGAGUACUGAAGAAUGGUAGAAUCAGUUUGAGUAUCGGAAAAUGGUCGAAUCCAGGUGAGUACCAGGAAAGGGUAAAAUCCGUGCGAGUAACGAAAAACUUUCCAGGCGAGUAUCGAAAAAUGGUAGAAUCAGUGUGAGGACCGGAAAAUAAUAGAAUCCGGGAGACUACCGGGUAAAGGUAGAAUCCGUGCGAGUAUCGAAUAACUGUCCGAACGAGUACUGAAGAAUGGUAGAAUCAGUUUGAGUACCGGAAAUUGGUCGAAUCCGGGCGAGUACCAGGAAAGGGUAUAAUCCGCUUGAGUAACGAAAAACUUUCCAGGCAAGAAUCGAAAAAUGGUAGAAUCAGUGUGAGGGCCGGAAAAUAAUAGAAUCCGGGCGACUACCGGG
rnacentral:lncRNA from 1 species